rnacentral:rRNA from 1 species
AACUAUGGGUUUAAACGGGCCGCGGUAUACCUGACCGGGCAAAGGUAGCAUAAUCACUCGCCUUUUAAUUGUAGGCUUGUAUGAAUGGAUAAACGAGAGUACCAGCUGCUCUCAUAUAAAUAAAUAAAAACUACUCUUCAGGUGAAGAAGCCUGAUUAAAAUUAAAAGACAAGAAGACCCUAUAGAGUUUUACUUCAAUAACACAUAUUUACAAAUAAUAAUGUUUAAAUAAAUGUUAAAUAGUUUAGUUGGGGCGACUUAGGAAUAUAAAAACCUUCCUUAAAUAAAAGAAAUAAAAUCAAAUUAAUGAUCCUUAUAAGAUCAAAAGAAUAAUAUUACCUUAGGGAUAACAGGCUAAUCUCCCCAGAGAGCCCAAAUUGACGGGGAGGGUUGGCACCUCGAUGUUGGCUUAAGACAACUUUUAAAUGCAGCAGUUUAAAUAAGUUGGUUUGUUCAACCAUUAAAGUCUU